AGAGUUUGAUCCUGGCUCAGAAUCAACGCUGGCGGCGUGCCUCAGACAUGCAAGUCGAACGCGAAAGGCCCCUUCGGGGGCCGAGUAGAGUGGCGUCCGGGUGAGUAACACGUGAGUAAUUUGCCUUCGGGUGGGGAAUAACAGCCGGAAACGGCUGCUAAUACCGCAUGAUGCAGCGGCACCUCAUGGUGACAGUUGUUAAAGCGGGGGACCAGCAAUGGCCUCGUGCCUGAAGAGAAGCUCGCGGCAGAUUAGCUAGUUGGUAGGGUAACGGCCUACCAAGGCAACGAUCUGUAGCCGGCCUGAGAGGGCGGUCGGCCACACUGACACUGACACACGGGUCAGACUCCUACGGGAGGCAGCAGUCGGGAAUUUUGGGCAAUGGGCGAAAGCCUGACCCAGCAACGCCGCGUGAAGGAUGAAGUUUUUCGGAAUGUAAACUUCACAAGAAUGGGAAGAAUAAGUCGGAGCUAACACCUCCGAUGAUGACGGUACCAUUUGUAAGCUCCGGCUAACUCCGUGCCAGCAGCCGCGGUAAUACGGGGGGAGCAAGCGUUGUUCGGAUUUACUGGGCGUAAAGGGCGCGUAGGCGGCGUGACAAGUCACUUGUGAAAUCUCCGGGCUUAACCCGGAGCGGUCAAGUGAUACUGUCGUGCUAGAGUGCGGAAGGGGCAACUGGAAUUCUCGGUGUAGCGGUGAAAUGCGUAGAUAUCGAGAGGAACACCUGCGGCGAAGGCGGGUUGCUGGGCCGACACUGACGCUGAGGCGCGAAAGCCAGGGGAGCGAACGGGAUUAGAUACCCCCGUAGUCC
rnacentral:rRNA from 1 species